UACGUAGGGUGCAAGCGUUAAUCGGAAUUACUGGGCGUAAAGCGUGCGCAGGCGGUUUUGUAAGACUGUCGUGAAAUCCCCGGGCUUAACCUGGGAAUGGCGAUGGUGACUGCAAGGCUAGAGUUUGGCAGAGGGGGGUAGAAUUCCACGUGUAGCAGUGAAAUGCGUAGAUAUGUGGAGAAACACCGAUGGCGAAGGCAGCCCCCUGGGUCAAAACUGACGCUCAUGCACGAAAGCGUGGGGAGCAAACAGG
rnacentral:rRNA from 1 species